AUGUGAAAUGUGAAUGUUG
rnacentral:piRNA from 1 species